CCAGCAGCCGCGGUAACACCGGCGGCCCGAGUGGUGAUCGUGAUUAUUGGGUCUAAAGGGUCCGUAGCCGGUUUGGUCAGUCCUCCGGGAAAUCUGAUAGCUCAACUAUUAGGCUUUCGGGGGAUACUGCCAGACUUGGAACCGGGAGAGGUAAGAGGUACUACAGGGGUAGGAGUGAAAUCUUGUAAUCCCUGUGGGACCACCUGUGGCGAAGGCGUCUUACCAGAACGGGUUCGACGGUGAGGGACGAAAGCUGGGGGCACGAACCGGAUUAGAUACCCGGGUAGUCCCAGCCGUAAACGAUGCUCGCUAGGUGUCAGGCAUGGCGCGACCGUGUCUGGUGCCGCAGGGAAGCCGUGAAGCGAGCCACCUGGGAAGUACGGCCGCAAGGCUGAAACUUAAAGGAAUUGGCGGGGGAGCACAACAACGGGUGGAGCCCUGCGGUUUAAUUGGACUCAACGCCGGACAACUCACCGGGGGCGACAGCAAUAUGUAGGCCAAGCUGAAGACUUUGCCUGAAUCGCUGAGAAGAGGUGCAUGG
rnacentral:rRNA from 1 species